rnacentral:rRNA from 1 species
CAUGCAGGCGGAUCGUUAAGUCGGGGGUGAAAGCCCGAGGCCCAACCUCGGAACUGCCUUCGAUACUGGCGAUCUUGAGUCCGGGAGAGGUGAGUGGAACUCCGAGUGUAGAGGUGAAAUUCGUAGAUAUUCGGAAGAACACCAGUGGCGAAGGCGGCUCACUGGCCCGGUACUGACGCUGAGAUGCGAAAGCGUGGGGAGCAAACA